UACGGAGGGUGCAAGCGUUAAUCAGAAUUACUGGGCGUAAAGAGCACGUAGGUGGUUUUUUAAGUCAGGUGUGAAAUCCCUAGGCUCAACCUAGGAACUGCAUUUGAAACUGAAAAACUAGAGUCUCGUAGAGGGAGGUAGAAUUCUAGGUGUAGCGGUGAAAUGCGUAGAUAUCUGGAGGAAUACCUGUGGCGAAAGCGGCCUCCUAAACGAAUACUGACGCUGAGGUGCGAAAGCGUGGGGAGCAAACAGG
rnacentral:rRNA from 1 species